CAGGCUGGUCGGGCAGUCGCGGUCCUGCGUUGUCGGGAUCGAGGAAAGUCCGCACUCCAUAGAGCACGGCGUCGGAUAGCACCCGGGGCGGGGAAGUCGCCGAGAGGCGUCAACCUGCCGGAAAAGGGCCACAGAAACAAACAGCCUCCCCCUCCGCCCUUCGAGGGCAGGUGGGGGCGGUCAUGGUGAAAAGGUGGUGUAAGAGACCACCGGCGCGCGCAGUAAUGCGUGUGGCCAGGUAACCCCCGCCGGGAGCAAGGCCAAGCAGGGACGAAAUCGUCUGUGGACGAUGGGAGACAGCUCGUCUUCGCAUGUGCCUUUCCCUCUUGUGGGAGAGGCCAGUCCCGGGUAGGCUGCACCGAGCGAUGUGGCGACACGUCGCCCAGAGAGAUGACUGCCCAAGCGGAGCUUUCCGCUGGACAGAAUGCGGCUUAUAGACCAGCCUGAGGC
rnacentral:RNase_P_RNA from 1 species